rnacentral:rRNA from 1 species
CAGAGGGUGCAAGCGUUGUUCGGAAUUAUUGGGCGUAAAGCGCGUGUAGGCGGCCGUGCAAGUCGGGUGUGAAAGCCCUCAGCUCAACUGAGGAAGUGCGCCCGAAACUGCAUGGCUUGAGUACCGGAGAGGAUGGCGGAAUUCCCGAAGUAGAGGUGAAAUUCGUAGAUAUCGGGAGGAACACCGGUGGCGAAGGCGGCCAUCUGGACGGAUACUGACGCUGAGACGCGAAAGCGUGGGUAGCAAACAGGAUUAGAUACCCUGGUAGUCCACGCCGUAAACGAUGAGAACUAGGUGUUGUGGGUGUUGACCCCCGCGGUGCCGAAGCUAACGCAUUAAGUUCUCCGCCUGGGAAGUACGGCCGCAAGGCUA